CUACGGGACGCUCCAGGCGCGAAACCUUUACAAUGCACGAAAGUGUGAUAAGGGGAUCCAAAGUGCCUAUACAUUGUAUAGGCUUUUGCCAAAGUUAAAUCCUUUGGCGAAUAAGUGGUGGGAAAGACUGGUGCCAGCCGCCGCGGUAACACCAGCGCCACAAGUGGCAGCCAUAUUUAUUGGGCCUAAAGCGUUCGUAGCCGGUUUGAUAAAUUCUUUGUGAAAUUGUCUGGCUUAACCAAACAACGUGCAAAGAACACUGUUAAACUUGAGACCGGGAGGAGCUGAGAGUAUUCUUGGGGGAGCGGUAAAAUGUGAUAAUCCUUAGAAGACUACCUGUGGCGAAGGCGCUCAGCUAGAACGGAUCUGACGGUGAGGGACGAAAGCCAGGGGAGCGAUCCGGAUUAGAUACCCCGGUAGUC
rnacentral:rRNA from 1 species